ACUUGGAGUUGAGGAAGCUGGUAUUGAUGGUGGUGGCAUUUUUAAAGACUUCAUGAGAAAUUACCCGAGCAGCCUUUGAUGUGCAAUAUGGGUUGUUUAAGGAGACCGUUGAUCACAUGCUUUAUCCUAAUCCUGGAUCAGGAAUGGUACAUGACCAGCAUCUCCAGUUCUUUCAUUUUCUCGGCACUCUUCUCGCAAAGCUAUGUUUGAAGGGAUUCUAGUUGAUAUACCAUUUGCAACUUUUUUCCUCAGCAAAUUAAAACACAAGUACAACUAUUUGAACGAUUUGCCUUCUCUGGAUCCUGAGUUGUAUAAGCAUCUUAUAUCUGAAGCGUUAUAAGGGUAAUAUCGCAGAGUUGGAGCUUUACUUUGUUAUUCUCAACAACGAAUAUGGAGAGAGGACAGAGGAAGAGUUACUUCCAGGGGGUAAAGACAUGCGGGUUACAAAUGAGAAUGUUAUAACUUUUAUUCAUCUGGUUUCAAAUCAUCGGUUGAAUUUUCAGAUACGCCAACAGAGUUCUCAUUUCUUGAGAGGGUUUCAGCAACUCAUUCCAAAAGAAUGUAUCGACAUGUUCAAUGAACAUGAGCUUCAGGUGCCAAUGGAUAAACAUGCUCUGGAUGGUUAAAAUUUUGUGUCUAUUACUGCUUUGCUAGUUGUUU